rnacentral:rRNA from 1 species
GAUGAACGCUGGCGGCGUGCCUAAUACAUGCAAGUCGAGCGAGCAGACGAGGAGGUUUCUCCUCUGACGUUACCUGCGGAAGGGGGAGGAACACGUGGAGAACCUACCUAUGAGACUCGGCUAACUUCGGGAAAACACAGCUAAUACCGGGUAAUAUAUUCAACCGCAUGGUGCAAUAGUGAAGAACGGUUUUUCUAUGACUUAGAGAUCGAUCCGCGCCGCAUUAGCUAGUUGGUAAGGUAAAGGCUUACCAAGGCAACGAUGCAUAGCCGACCUGAGAGGCUGAUCGGCCACACUGGAACUGAGACACGGCCCAGACUCCUACGGGAGGCAGCAGUAGGGAAUCUUCCGCAAUGGACGCAAGCCUGAUGGAGCAACGCCGCGUGAGUGAUGAAGGUCUUCGGAUCGUAAAACUCUGUUAUUAGGGAAGAACAAAUGUGUAAGUAACUAUGCACGUCUUGACGGUACCUAAUCAGAAAGCCACGGCUAACUACGUG